rnacentral:rRNA from 1 species
AUGGACGGCCUCCAGCGCCGGCCCGCGGCGGCGGCCGCCGCCAGCGCGAGGGGCGAGGGGCAGCCCCCGGGCGCGCAGCGCGUCAUCCACUGCGACGUCGAGCCGGCGCCGCGGGCGUGGCCCGGGAUGCAGAUGCUGGCCCUCGCCGCCGUCCUCGUGCUCGGGGGCCUCCAGUUCCUGCCGGCCACCCACUUCCGCCACCCCGCCGACCGUUCCCGCACCUGGGUCCCCUUCGACUCCUCGCGCCACCCCCAGGAUCUGUCCCAUGAGGUUGAAACUGUAGAUGUCUACUCAUCAAUAAGCUGUCUGGAUCUUCGUACUCUUGCUGUGCUGACAAACUCCACCCUGUCCAGCUCAAGUGAUCCGCAUCAUGUAUCCUUCAAUUUCUUGAUACCUGAAGGAGGCAAUGAUCAAGUGCCCUACUACAAGAUAAAAUCAGUGCUACCUGAUUCAAAUAUUACUGUUACUAGCCAGAAGAAAAUCAAGGAUAAGCUAAAUCUUGCCACUCCAGAAGGAAACUUUUUUGUGUCAUUCCCCAAUGAACUGUCACCAAUCGUUAUUGCAAGGGCUCUCUCACGAACGAGAUAUGUUUAUAUCUCAGCAGACUCAAUCAUAAAGGGAAAAAUUGAAGACCUUGUUCGCAUUGAUUUAGGCAGUUAUGCCGUGGGUGCUUCUGAAGAUUGUAGCAUGCGCCUUGGAGAUUACAUCAGUAUGGAUGUUCUGAAUGCUGUCCAAAGAACAGCUCCAAGAGGGGUGGUACAUCAUACUGAAACUUUUGACAAGGAUGCGUGCUUUCUUGAUUUUGAUGUGCUCGUGGUGGAGCCACGUAAUAUAAAGAGGAAUCUGAUUGACUCUAUCGCCUUUUGGACCAUGGCUGUCAAACUAGCUAAUCCAAGGGACAGCGUUAUGUUGGCAAUGACUCUGGCCUUCUAUAACGAUUAUCUAAAGCUCCCUACCAACUGGAAGCGCGCAGACGCUAACACAGACAUUCUCUACUAUGAUGGACCCAAGAAUGUUUGCACUGAAGAUGGCCUCCAGCACCAAGAAAAAGGAUCCGGCGAGAUCUGGCAGCAGUACCUUGGUCCGAAGUCCGACUCGGUGUUGAGCACCUGA